AUGUCCGUCUUGAUCCUGCACAAUGGAUCAUUACCGCAGUGUUUGGAUGCCCCUUCUCGGGGUGUCCGUCCUCCCAUCCGUGUCUAUUUGUACCCUGUUGCUUCGGCGGGCCCGCCCUUCGUGGCCGCCGGGGGGCUUCCCUGCCCCCGGGCCCGUGCCCGCCGGAGACCUCAACCAUGAACACUGUCUGAAGGUUGCAGUCUGAGUACCGAUAUAAAAAAUCGUUAAAACUUUCAACAACGGAUCUCUUGGUUCCGGCAUCGAUGAAGAACGCAGCGAAAUGCGAUACGUAAUGUGAAUUGCAGAAUUCAGUGAAUCAUCGAGUCUUUGAACGCACAUUGCGCCCCCUGGUAUUCCGGGGGGCAUGCCUGUCCGAGCGUCAUUGCUGCCCUCAAGCACGGCUUGUGUGUUGGGCCCCCGUCCCCCUCCCAGGAAGGGGACGGGCCCGAAAGGCAGCGGCGGCACCGUGUCCGGUCCUCGAGCGUAUGGGAAGCAACUUUUUUGUCACCCGCUCCUGUAGGUCCGGCCGGCGGCCUGCCCAACCCCAACCUUCUUUUUUUUAACCAGGUUGACCUCGGAUCAGGUAGGGAUACCCGCUGAACUUAAGCAUAUCAAUAAGCGGAGGAAAAGAAACCAACCGGGAUUGCCUCAGUAACGGCGAGUGAAGCGGCAAGAGCUCAAAUUUGAAAUCUGGCCCCUCCGGGGUCCGAGUUGUAAUUUGUAGAGGAUGCUUCGGGUGCGGCCCCUGUCUAAGUGCCCUGGAACGGGCCAUCGGAGAGGGUGAGAAUCCCGUCUGGGAUGGGGGUGUCCGUGCCCGUGUGAAGCUCCUUCGACGAGUCGAGUUGUUUGGGAUGCAGCUCUAAUGGGUGGUAAAUUCAUCUAAGCUAAUACUGCGAGAUCGAUGGCGCACAAGUAGAGUGAUCGAAGAUGAAAGUCACUUGCAAAGAGAGUUAAACGCAC
rnacentral:rRNA from 1 species